GGAGGGUAUAACUCAAGUGGUAGAGCGCAUGCUUUAGCAUGCAUGAGGUCCUGGGUUCAAUCCCCAGUACCUCCU
rnacentral:tRNA from 1 species